rnacentral:rRNA from 1 species
UUAAGCGACUAAGCGUACACGGUGGAUGCCCUGGCAGUCAGAGGCGAUGAAGGACGUGCUAAUCUGCGAUAAGCGUCGGUGAGGUGAUAUGAACCGUUAUAACCGGCGAUUUCCGAAUGGGGAAACCCAGUGUGUUUCGACACACUAUCAUUAACUGAAUCCAUAGGUUAAUGAGGCGAACCGGGGGAACUGAAACAUCUAAGUACCCCGAGGAAAAGAAAUCAACCGAGAUUCCCCCAGUAGCGGCGAGCGAACGGGGAGGAGCCCAGAGCCUGAAUCAGUGUGUGUGUUAGUGGAAGCGUCUGGAAAGGCGCGCGAUACAGGGUGACAGCCCCGUACACAAAAAUGCACAUACUGUGAGCUCGAUGAGUAGGGCGGGACACGUGGUAUCCUGUCUGAAUAUGGGGGGACCAUCCUCCAAGGCUAAAUACUCCUGACUGACCGAUAGUGAACCAGUACCGUGAGGGAAAGGCGAAAAGAACCCCGGCGAGGGGAGUGAAAAAGAACCUGAAACCGUGUACGUACAAGCAGUGGGAGCCUCUUAAUGGGGUGACUGCGUACCUUUUGUAUAAUGGGUCAGCGACUUAUAUUCUGUAGCAAGGUUAACCGAAUAGGGGAGCCGAAGGGAAACCGAGUCUUAACUGGGCGUUAAGUUGCAGGGUAUAGACCCGAAACCCGGUGAUCUAGCCAUGGGCAGGUUGAAGGUUGGGUAACACUAACUGGAGGACCGAACCGACUAAUGUUGAAAAAUUAGCUGAUGACUUGUGGCUGGGGGUGAAAGGCCAAUCAAACCGGGAGAUAGCUGGUUCUCCCCGAAAGCUAUUUAGGUAGCGCCUCGUGAAUUCAUCUCCGGGGGUAGAGCACUGUUUCGGCAAGGGGGUCAUCCCGACUUACCAACCCGAUGCAAACUGCGAAUACCGGAGAAUGUUAUCACGGGAGACACACGGCGGGUGCUAACGUCCGUCGUGAAGAGGGAAACAACCCAGACCGCCAGCUAAGGUCCCAAAGUCAUGGUUAAGUGGGAAACGAUGUGGGAAGGCCCAGACAGCCAGGAUGUUGGCUUAGAAGCAGCCAUCAUUUAAAGAAAGCGUAAUAGCUCACUGGUCGAGUCGGCCUGCGCGGAAGAUGUAACGGGGCUAAACCAUGCACCGAAGCUGCGGCAGCGACACUAUGUGUUGUUGGGUAGGGGAGCGUUCUGUAAGCCUGUGAAGGUGGCCUGUGAGGGUUGCUGGAGGUAUCAGAAGUGCGAAUGCUGACAUAAGUAACGAUAAAGCGGGUGAAAAGCCCGCUCGCCGGAAGACCAAGGGUUCCUGUCCAACGUUAAUCGGGGCAGGGUGAGUCGACCCCUAAGGCGAGGCCGAAAGGCGUAGUCGAUGGGAAACAGGUUAAUAUUCCUGUACUUGGUGUUACUGCGAAGGGGGGACGGAGAAGGCUAUGUUGGCCGGGCGACGGUUGUCCCGGUUUAAGCGUGUAGGCUGGUUUUCCAGGCAAAUCCGGAAAAUCAAGGCUGAGGCGUGAUGACGAGGCACUACGGUGCUGAAGCGACAAAUGCCCUGCUUCCAGGAAAAGCCUCUAAGCAUCAGGUAACAUCAAAUCGUACCCCAAACCGACACAGGUGGUCAGGUAGAGAAUACCAAGGCGCUUGAGAGAACUCGGGUGAAGGAACUAGGCAAAAUGGUGCCGUAACUUCGGGAGAAGGCACGCUGAUAUGUAGGUGAAGCGACUUGCUCGUGGAGCUGAAAUCAGUCGAAGAUACCAGCUGGCUGCAACUGUUUAUUAAAAACACAGCACUGUGCAAACACGAAAGUGGACGUAUACGGUGUGACGCCUGCCCGGUGCCGGAAGGUUAAUUGAUGGGGUUAGCGGUAACGCGAAGCUCUUGAUCGAAGCCCCGGUAAACGGCGGCCGUAACUAUAACGGUCCUAAGGUAGCGAAAUUCCUUGUCGGGUAAGUUCCGACCUGCACGAAUGGCGUAAUGAUGGCCAGGCUGUCUCCACCCGAGACUCAGUGAAAUUGAACUCGCUGUGAAGAUGCAGUGUACCCGCGGCAAGACGGAAAGACCCCGUGAACCUUUACUAUAGCUUGACACUGAACAUUGAGCCUUGAUGUGUAGGAUAGGUGGGAGGCUUUGAAGUGUGGACGCCAGUCUGCAUGGAGCCGACCUUGAAAUACCACCCUUUAAUGUUUGAUGUUCUAACGUGGGCCCCUUACCGGGGUUGCGGACAGUGUCUGGUGGGUAGUUUGACUGGGGCGGUCUCCUCCUAAAGAGUAACGGAGGAGCACGAAGGUUGGCUAAUCCUGGUCGGACAUCAGGAGGUUAGUGCAAUGGCAUAAGCCAGCUUGACUGCGAGCGUGACGGCGCGAGCAGGUGCGAAAGCAGGUCAUAGUGAUCCGGUGGUUCUGAAUGGAAGGGCCAUCGCUCAACGGAUAAAAGGUACUCCGGGGAUAACAGGCUGAUACCGCCCAAGAGUUCAUAUCGACGGCGGUGUUUGGCACCUCGAUGUCGGCUCAUCACAUCCUGGGGCUGAAGUAGGUCCCAAGGGUAUGGCUGUUCGCCAUUUAAAGUGGUACGCGAGCUGGGUUUAGAACGUCGUGAGACAGUUCGGUCCCUAUCUGCCGUGGGCGCUGGAGAACUGAGGGGGGCUGCUCCUAGUACGAGAGGACCGGAGUGGACGCAUCACUGGUGUUCGGGUUGUCAUGCCAAUGGCACUGCCCGGUAGCUAAAUGCGGAAGAGAUAAGUGCUGAAAGCAUCUAAGCACGAAACUUGCCCCGAGAUGAGUUCUCCCUGACUCCUUGAGAGUCCUGAAGGAACGUUGAAGACGACGACGUUGAUAGGCCGGGUGUGUAAGCGCAGCGAUGCGUUGAGCUAACCGGUACUAAUGAACCGUGAGGCUUAACCUU